rnacentral:rRNA from 1 species
AUUGAACGCUGGCGGAAUGCUUUACACAUGCAAGUCGAACGGCAGCACGGGAGCUUGCUCCUGGUGGCGAGUGGCGAACGGGUGAGUAAUACGUAGGAACAUAUCCAGUAAUGGGGGAGUAACGCAUCGAAAGGUAGUGCUAAUACCGCAUACGUCCUGAGGGAGAAGUGGGGAGUCGCAAGACCUCACGUUAUUGGAGUGGCCUACGCCUGAUUAGCUAGUUGGUGAGGUAAAGGCUCACCAAGGCGACGAUCAGUAGCUGGUCUGAGAGGAUGAUCCAGCCACACUGGGACUGAGACACGGCCCAGACUCCUACGGGAGGCAG